AAUAAGCUACUACGUUGGUGACUGCCAAUCAAGUUUUUUGAUCUAUACUUGAGUUAUAAGGAAACUAACAGAGUUCUUGUAGCAGUAAACCGAGCUUUUGUACUCGGAAACGAACGCAGAAACGUUGGUGUCCACCUGGUUUUCCAGGUCAUAAACUGAGGUAAAACGGCGUAGUGGUUCAUCA
rfam:Geminocystis sp. NIES-3708 DNA, complete genome.